GACCCCUCGUGUUUCCCGUUGUGCAAACCCUCGUGCAAGAAGUCUCAAAACCCACUUUUGUGACCCUUUACAGCCUGAGGUCUCCGUGCAACGCCCCCUCAAGCACCCCCAACCCCCGACCCUAUAACACCGCAACCCCCCCGGACCCCUCAUGUAACCCGUCGUGAAAACCCUCGUGCAAGAAACCCCCAAACCCACUUCUGUCACCUUACAGAGCCGGAGGUCUCCGUGCAACGCCCCCUCAAGCACCCCCAACCCCCAUCCCUAUAACACUGUGACAUCUGCACGACCCUAGUGUGACUCCUCGUGCAAACCCUCGUGCAAGAAAUCUCCAAAGUAACCUCCACGAUCCUAUUAGAGCCAGAGGUCUCCGUGCAACG
rnacentral:lncRNA from 1 species